AACCCUUGACAUGGCAGUGACCGUUCCAGAGAUGGUCUUUCUCGUAAGAGACACUGCACACAGGUGCUGCAUGGCUGUCGUCAGCUCGUGUCGUGAGAUGUUCGGUUAAGUCCGGCAACGAGCGCAACCCCACACUCCUGGUUGCCAGCAUUCAGUUGGGCACUUUAGGAGAACUGCCGGUGAUAAGCCGGAGGAAGGUGUGGAUGACGUCAAGUCCUCAUGGCCCUUACGGUUGGGCUACACACGUGCUACAAUGGUGGUGACAAUGGGCCAAUCCCAAAAAGCCAUCUCAGUUCGGAUUGGGGUCUGCAACUCGACCCCAUGAAGUCGGAAUCGCUAGUAAUCGCGUAACAGCAUGACGCGGUGAAUACGUUCCCGGGCCUU
rnacentral:rRNA from 1 species